ensembl:processed_transcript AY512915 cDNA sequence AY512915
AACUUGGAGAGGCUGGACCCUGGGGUAUGUCUACGAAGGAGAAACCAUGCAGCGUCCUUCUACCCUGUCAGGCCUGGAACUGUGAAUGGACUGAAGACCAGUGGGGCCUUCAGCUACUGGCCUGGACUCUUGGAAGCAAACUUGUUUUUCUGUGAUUCACCAGAAACUCUCAGGACGAGAAUAUCUCAGUCUUCCAAGGUUUGGCUUCAUUGA